GUGGCGGUGUAGUCCCAGCUGGCGUCGGCGUCCAGCAGGGCAUUCUCGCCGAACCGGUCGCCGUCGCCGAGGACGCCGAUCACCGCGUCGUCACCGUACUUGCCGGUGGAGACCUGGUUGAUCUUGCCGUGCGCGAUCAGGUGGAUCUUGUCGGACGGGGUGCCGCGCUCCACCAGGGUCUCCCCGGCCCGGAACUCGCGCUGCACGCACCGGUCGGCGAUCGCCGACAGCACGUCGUCGUCCUCGAAGCCGCGCAGCAGGGCGAGUUCACCGAGCUCCCGGGGGAUGACCCGGACGUCGCCGCCGGUCUGGAUGAACUCGAUCCGGCCGUCGCCGACCGUGUAGGUCAGGCGCCGGUUGACCCGGUAGGUACCGCCGGAGGUCUGCACCCAGGGCAGCAUCCGCAGCAGCCAGCGGGAGGUGAUCUCCUGCAUCUGCGGUGCGGACUUGGUGGUGGUCGCCAGGUUGCGUGCGGCGGCGGUGGUGAGGCUGGUCUG
rfam:Kitasatospora griseola strain MF730-N6 RKJC_1, whole genome shotgun sequence.